rnacentral:rRNA from 1 species
UACGAAGGGGGCUAGCGUUGUUCGGAUUUACUGGGCGUAAAGCGCACGUAGGCGGUUUGUUAAGUCAGGGGUGAAAUCCCACAGCUCAACUGUGGAACUGCCUUUGAUACUGGCAAGCUAGAGUCCGGAAGAGGUAAGUGGAACUCCUAGUGUAGAGGUGGAAUUCGUAGAUAUUGGGAAGAACACCGGUGGCGAAGGCGGCUCUCUGGACCGAGACUGACGCUGAGGAGCGAAAGCGUGGGGAGCGAACAGG